rnacentral:lncRNA from 1 species
UGCUUGUUGUAGUGCUCAGAAUCCUCAAAACCCCAUUUCUGAAAUCCCACCUCCAAUUUUGGUGCCAUCUGGGGCCAUUUUGGAGCCAUUUGGUG